rnacentral:rRNA from 1 species
UACGAGGGGGGCGAGCGUUGUUCGGAAUUAUUGGGCGUAAAGGGUGCGUAGGCGGCCUGACAAGUCUGAUGUGAAAUCCCUGGGCUCAACCCAGGGCCUGCAUCGGAAACUGUCGGGCUUGAGUAUGGGAGAGGUGAGUGGAACUGCGAGUGUAGAGGUGAAAUUCGUAGAUAUUCGCAAGAACACCAGUGGCGAAGGCGGCUCACUGGCCCAUAACUGACGCUGAGGCACGAAAGCGUGGGGAGCAAACAGG